AGCGAACGCUGGCGGCAGGCCUAACACAUGCAAGUCGAACGAACCUUUCGGGGUUAGUGGCGGACGGGUGAGUAACACGUGGGAACGUGCCCUUAGGUUCGGAAUAACUCAGGGAAACUUGUGCUAAUACCGAACGUGCCCUUCGGGGGAAAGAUUUAUCGCCUUUAGAGCGGCCCGCGUCUGAUUAGCUAGUUGGUUGAGGUAAUGGCUCACCAAGGCGACGAUCAGUAGCUGGUCUGAGAGGAUGAUCAGCCACAUUGGGACUGAGACACGGCCCAAACUCCUACGGGAGGCAGCAGUGGGGAAUCUUGCGCAAUGGGCGAAAGCCUGACGCAGCCAUGCCGCGUGAAUGAUGAAGGUCUUAGGAUUGUAAAAUUCUUUCACCGGGGACGAUAAUGACGGUACCCGGAGAAGAAGCCCCGGCUAACUUCGUG
rnacentral:rRNA from 1 species